GGAAAAUUUGAUUCUAGUUUUAGAAGAUUGCUUAAUGAUGAAUUUAAUAUGUAAGUUUUGGCGAUAUUUAUUGUAAAAUUUAAAUAAUUUUAUUUAGUUUAUUUAUUCGCAGUUUAUAAUAUUAAUUAUUUAAUAAUUUAAGAAUUAGUUAAUUGUUAUUAUGACUAGCAAAAAUUGUGCCAGCAGCUGCGGUUACACAAUUAGUCAUAGUUAUUUAUUUUAGGAUAUUAUUACUUAUAAGCUAAUAUUUGAUUAUAAAUUAUUUAUUUUUAGGUGAAAUUUGAAUAUUUAUUUCUUAAUUGGGUAAGCAAGUAUUAUAAGAAAUUUUUGUAUUAAACUAGGAUUAGAUACCCUAUUAUUUUAAAUGUAAAUUUUUAUUCCUUAUUACUAUUAGUUUAAGAUCUUUAAAUUGAAAGAAUUUGACGGUAAUUUAAUCAUUUUAGAGGAACCUGUUCUGUAAUUGAUAAUCCACGAUAAAUUUUACCUCAGUUAUUUGUUUGUAUAUCUCUGUCUGUUUAGAAUGUUUUAUUAGGAAAUUUUCUUGAAUUCUUUUUGGAAUAUAUGUCAGGUCAAGGUGCAGCUAUAUUGGGGGUUGAAAUGGGUUACRUUUAAUUUUUAUUAAUGGAUUGAUUUUUGUAUUUAAAUUAAUGAAAUUGGAUUUAAUUGUAAUGUUUAUUAUAUAUUAUUCAUGAUAUAUGUUCUUGAUUAAGUACACAUCGCCCGUCGCUCUCAUUAAUAAGAUGAGAUAAGUCGUAACAAAGUAGCCCUAUCGGAAGAUGGGACUGGAAUUAU
rnacentral:ncRNA from 1 species